GACGAACGCUGGCGGCGUGCUUAACACAUGCAAGUCGAACGGAAAGGCCCUGCUUGCAGGGUGCUCGAGUGGCGAACGGGUGAGUAACACGUGGGUGAUCUGCCCCUUACUUUGGGAUAAGCCUGGGAAACUGGGUCUAAUACUGGAUAGGACCAUGCUGUAGGUGGUGUGGUGGAAAGAUUAGUUUCGGUAAGGGAUGAGCUCGCGGCCUAUCAGCGUGUUGGUGGGGUAAUGGCCUACCAAGGCGUCGACGGGUAGCCGGCCUGAGAGGGUGGACGGCAACGUUGGGACUGAGAGACGGCCCAGACUCCUACGGGAGGCAGCAGUGGGGAAUAUUGCACAAUGGGCGCAAGCCUGAUGCAGCGACGCCGCGUGGGGGAUGACGGCCUUCGGGUUGUAAACUCCUUUCAGCCAUGACGAAGCCCUUGUGGUGACGGUAGUGGUAGAAGAAGCACCGGCUAACUACGUG
rnacentral:rRNA from 1 species